GUUCCGGAAGCAUUUUGGAGCUGUUUUGAGCCUGUUUUGGGGCGAAAAUAGUGCCGUCCGUAACACCAUGGCCUGACACGUCAUGACGUUCCGGAAGCAUUUUGGAGCUUUUUUGAGCCUGUUUUGGGGCGAAAAUAGUGCCAUCCGUAACAUUCUCCCCCGCUCAAUCUCGCGACGACCUCGGCGCGUGCUCCUUGUAAGCGUGGAUGAGGUCUUGGUGAUUCCACAAAGUUAGUUCAUGCUCCCAGCUCGCCUCGCUGUCGGGA
rnacentral:lncRNA from 1 species